GACAGAGGGUGCAAGCGUUGUCCGGAUUUAUUGGGCGUAAAGAGCUCGUAGGCGGCUUGUUGCGUCGUCCGUGAAAACCCGCAGCUCAACUGCGGGCUUGCGGACGAUACGGGCAGGCUGGAGUUCGGUAGGGGAGACUGGAAUUCCUGGUGUAGCGGUGAAAUGCGCAGAUAUCAGGAGGAACACCGGUGGCGAAGGCGGGUCUCUGGGCCGAUACUGACGCUGAGGAGCGAAAGCGUGGGGAGCGAACAGG
rnacentral:rRNA from 1 species